UCCCUGGUGGUCUAGCGGCUAGGACUCUGAGCUCUCAUUGCAGACAGUCUGGGUUCGAUCCCUGGUCAGGGAA
rnacentral:tRNA from 1 species